CGAGAGAGAGAGAAGAACGAAGUUUGCUGCUGUAUCAUGAGCAAUAGCAAAAGUAGCCGAAGAGAGUGCGUAAGAGGGGACAAUAAGAAAGAAGAGCAGGAGAGCAUAAACGCAUUUGCAGCGCUCUCACUCAAAUUUGUUCACCGGUAAAUGCGUGCGCAAAUGCGUUUGUAAGCCAGCUCCGCGUUUUAAUUAGUGAAAAACUCCGAUAAUGGUGAAAAAUACAACGGGUUAAAUGUCGCGCCGGUUUGUGAAGUGAAGUUUAAUGUAUUGAUACAGCGAUUAGAUGUUUAAAUGUACCAAAAACGUUUUUAAUAAAAGAAAAUGUCUUGUAUCAAGGGCGGCGGCGCAUAAACAGACAAAAUGGCAACAAAAAGGCAGCUCGACGAAGCAAAAGUGCAGCAAUGAGUGACAUUUGUAUAUUUAUUUCAUAUAAAUGCCUCCCAAAGCCGAUUCCUGCCAACUGAAGCUCAUACUGGAUGCUUAGCACAUUUUAGGCCCUGGCUCAUAAUUAGCUUAAAAUUCCUGAAGCGGAAUUCAUCUGCAAAAUGGCUGGAGCUGCAGGCACAAGGAUUGCCAGGCUCGAAAUAGCCAGAGGCACAUAUAACCAGUAUACAUGAUGGUUCCUGGAAGCGUAUGAAGUUCAUGAAGAACAUGUCCAACCGUCUCUGCAAUGGUUCAAUGAAAUAAACCAAAGAACGGAGCACCAAUGCCCGCGAACUCGAAACCAGCCCGAAGUCUAGUUCCAUCGAGUCCUUGGAAUGAACUCUUCUGCCUUCUGGCUCGCAGACAUCCCGUCCGUUGCUUCAUCACGCACUCUGCCAUUUUGCUGGUUUUAGAUCAAAUGCAUCUCGCGGCUCAGUUCGGGGUUUCGCUUCGGAGCAGCAUUGGGCCAGGAGUGGGCGGGAUAAGAGUGGAGUGGCAGUGGCAGUGGCUGUGGGCCUGACAGUGGAGUUGCUUAGCAGCGGCUGAAGGAGGUGUGGCAUUGUUGGUGGUGCUGGUUCUGCCCUGCGGUGGCUCAUUGUUCGACUGCAGCGCGAGGUAUACGCAUGUUAGUGGCAGCCGAGCAGUCGGGAUUUGAUUUUCGAGGAGUCAUGGUGCCAUGGAGCCAUGGAGCCAUGGAGCCAUGGAGGAGCCUUUAAAGUGAGAGCUGGCUGAGGCUGAAGCCUGAAUGCCUCGCUCGGCUGAAGGCUUAAGUGCACGAGGAAAACGGCAGGCCGAAGGAGAAGGAGAGGGAAGAGGAAGAGGUUAAGUCUUAAGACUUGGCUUACUCCUGCUUUUGACUGACUAUUUGGAUGGCUUAUGCUUUUGGCCACAUGAUACUCACUAAAGUGCAGUUUCGAGAACUUGCCAUUAAUUAAUUUAAUGAACUUUUGCCCCAUCCGGCCGUCAGUCAGUCCGUCAGCCAGUCCCGUCAAUCAGUCCGUCAGUCAAGUGCAUAAAAGCCUUUGGACAGCUGCAUAUCCAAAUGGGUUGGACAGCUUUUGUUCUCGCCGAGAGUCUGUGUGCGGGGCGGGGCGGUGGGCUAAAAGUUGUUGCAAAUAGAGAUUGAUACGAGUAGAGCAGUGUAGGGUAGGGUAGGGUAGGGGAGGGGGAUUUCCGAGUGGAGGCCCAAAUAUAUCUAAUGAAUAUUCCCACAUUUCGGUGGAAGAACAGAUGGCUCUUCCAUUUGGCUCAUUGUGGCACCACAAUGGCAAUCCAUUAACGACAUUCCAUCUGAAAUGAUUCCCCAUUAUGCUUAUGAUAUAAUGACGCCGCCCCCAGACCAAGGAAAUCUCUCCGCAUUUCACCUUGAUGUCGACGUCGAUGUGGCACUGUCGAUGUGGCACAGAGCCGCAUGUUCAUAACGUUGUCGCACAAUUAAAUUCCAUCCGCAAAAGCUUUCAACUGCACUUUGGACCACAAAUUAUGGCCAGCCCCGCACGGCUUCGCUCCCCCGAGCAUUGAGGUUCUUCUAUGGCAGAACAAAUGGCCAAAAGCGGCUGCCAAAUGUCGGCCUACAAACACACACACUCACACAGACAGUCGUCUAUGUAUAGGCAGGCGGACACACAAAAGGCCGAGACAUUCGGGCCAAAUUUAACUGCUGUGCAGUCGCGCAUGACGAUCCGCUGGCAAUCUCUUACCGACUUUCCCUGCCCCUGGCCCAGGCCCAGGACCAGGUCCCCCCCAGUCAAUUAUGGUCUAUGGACAUUAAAUGUCAUUACGCAGCAACAAUCAAAAAGAGACACAGGAUCCGCAGCAGGGGCAGGGGCAGGGGCAGGAGCUGGGGAUGGAGAUGGCGAUGGCAAUGGCGAACUGAAGCCGAACAGGAAGUAGACAACGAGCCAAGCAAAGCAUGAAAUUAAAAUGCGCCUAAGAUGUAUUCCUGUCUGUCAUGGGCCGCCCUGCGAGUCCUGCCAAAGGAGUGGCUGCUUCUGGUUGUGCUUCUGCCUGUCGUUCUGCUUAUAAUUUCAUUUUUCACACCCAACUCUCAUUGACAAAAGUGUGAAGCGCAGGACACGGGGAGACGGACGUUCUUGGCUUCCUGCCUUUGCCAUACACUUGCCAACAAAAACUGCUGCAGGAGCGAAAGGAGGCAUAGCCGAUGGAUACAUAUUCCCGGAUAAGCGGCCCUGGGCUUUAACCUUCACGUUCCGGGUCCUGCGCUGCUCUGCUAUCCCAUCUUAAAUGAGUAGACGUACGCGUCCCCUUUUCGAACCGUGGACCCCCAGGCGGCCAUACCCAUUUGGGUGCAUACCCCCGGACCGACACUGCAUCGACGAUCGCGUGCAUCGCGCCAUCAGCUGGUUCACCUUCACUUUUUACGAGGUACGACGUACGUGCUUCGCAGGGGCUUACAUUACCGACAUCGUCUUCCGUCCUGCACCAUGCUUUAACUCAUCGGCUUUCCCCGGCUCUAUUGGGUGAGAUCAUCUCUGGCACAAACUGCUAUGCCGCGAUCCCCUCCUCUUACCCCAUCAACCCCCUCCGGUGGCCAGGAAUACCUCUUGCGUGCUCGCGGAUAUGCCCAUGAGCUUCACCCUUCACCAUGAGCUUCACCCUUCUGGUCUUCCGGUUCAUAUGAGCGAGUGUGCGAUCGAUGACGAUGCGCACGAGGCCACGAUGCCCUCGGGACGCGUCGUGGCGACAAUGGGGCGUCCCAUUUGCUGCAGCAAGGACCAGUGAUCGCCGGCGGAAUUGUUGGUUCACGCCCAUUCAUAUGCAGCCGAAUCAAACGAUGGGCUUCGGCUUUGAGAAGCAUUACUCACACACAUUCAUACCCUUCGCUUUGCGACAAACCCAGUCGUGUCCGCCAGACGGAGUACUAUGAAAGUAUCCAAGCCAGACAGAAGUGAAUCCCAGCCGGACGGAAGCGCAGCAUCGUCAUCCUUUGCCCUGGCCAUCGACAGCAUGGACUUUGACUACGGCAACCAAGGGAGGGACUACUCGGGGCUACUAGACUCUAGUUGAAUAUCGUUGUUGUAAGGUGUAAGGAUAGACGCGUCCAUAUAUUUAGAUAGUACAGAAAAAACCAUUAUUCUACUGAUGUGCAAAUCCACAUCUUCGGAAGGCCAUAUCUCAGAAAAACGGCAUAAAAAUCUCGACUACGAAAAUGAUGUCGAUUUUUGGCAAUUUUAAUUAUGAUAUAGCCUUCAGAAAAACCAGUAUUGUAACGAUGUGCAAAUCCGAAUCUUCGGAAGGCUACAUCUCAGAAAAAUUGGGCCAGAUCGGUGCCGGACCAUGUUUCCCA